rnacentral:rRNA from 1 species
CAACAGAGAGAAGCAAUACCGCGAGGUGGNGCAAACUCAAAAAUGGUCUCAGUUCGGACUGUAGGCUGCAACUCGCCUACACGAAGUUGGAAUUGCUAGUAAUCGUGGAUCAGCAUGCCACGGUGAAUACGUUCCCGGGUCUUGUACACACCGCCCGUCACACCAUGGGAGCUGGUAACACCCGAAGUCAGUAGUCUAACCGCAAGGAGGACGCUGCCGAAGGUGGGAUUAGCGACUGGGGUGAAGUCGUAACAAGGUAAC